rnacentral:rRNA from 1 species
UACAGAGGUCUCAAGCGUUGUUCGGAUUCAUUGGGCGUAAAGGGCGCGUAGGCGGCUCGCUAAGUCGGAUGUGAAAACUCUGGGCUCAACCCAGAGCCUGCAUUCGAAACUGACGAGCUCGAGUUCUGGAGGGGAAAGCGGAAUUCCUGGUGUAGCGGUGAAAUGCGUAGAAUAUCGAGGAGGAACACCGGUGCGAAGGCGGAC